GUUCCUUAUGAGAGCAGCUGUAUAUAAGUAUGUCAUCAAAAUAAACUACCAGAAAUUUAUCAAUGUAAGGCUGUAACGCAUGAGUCAUCACCCUCAUAAACGUGCUAGGUGCAUUGGACAUUUCAAAGGGCAUAACAAGCUAUUCAUAUAAACCAUCAGGGGUUUUAAACACGGUUUUCCAUUCAUCUCCUUCAUGAAUGCGGAUUUGAUGGUAGCCACUGCGAAGAUCUAUCUUAGAAAACCAUUGGGAACCAGUCAAAUCAUCCAACAUAUUCCUAAGUCAUAGUAUGGGAAAACGAUGCUUAAUAGUAAUUUUAUUUACGAUGUGACUAUCAACACGUAUUUGUCAGGAGCCAUCCUUUUUGGGGUAAAGAGAAUCUGAACAGCACGAGGACUUAAAACUAUGAUGGACUUAAACUAUGAUGAAUAAAGCCCUUUAUCCAGCAACCCCUCAAUUUGUUGAUUCAACUUUGCUCACUUAGGCGGAUUCAUAUGAUAAUGGGGAAGAUUAGGAAUUUGCAAAGCAGGAACAAGGUCAAUAGCAUGCUGAAUCUCUCUUGUAGGAGGUAGUUCAUCCGGUAUCAAGUAUGACAUCAGAGAAUUCAGUGAGGAGUUGUUGCAUGGGUUCGGCAGGUGGAGUGAGGGUGUCAUCAUAUGCCGGCUUAAGCAGGUUUUCCUAAUUCUAUUUGGAUUAGUUAUUAAUUUAGUUAAGGAUGCCUUGUUGUUGAAGGAUCUCUGAUUAGUUACUUUGCUUUACUAUUUCUCAAAGUUUACUUUUCCUUUUCCUAGAGUAAAAAGGGGUUGUGCCUUUAUAAAUGAGC
rnacentral:lncRNA from 1 species